rnacentral:misc_RNA from 1 species
UUAACUAUUAUAUAGUACUCAGACGACAUUAUUAAACAGAGUUUAGGGUUCUCUGGCGAGCACUCACCAGCGUGAGCCGGUGGCCGAAGCGGCUCGCCAAAGCAACAAAGGUAUAAUUAACAUAGGGUUGGAGAGUCACCCUUGCGGGCGAGUUUCUCUGUAAUGAUCCCUCCGCAGGUUCACCUACGGAGA